UCGUCCCAGACUCUGCACAGCUCCCGCUGCCGAGACUCCGAGCAGACGUCGCAGCGGGCCAAGCGUCGCCACUCUGGGGACGCGAACAAGCUGGCGGCCCGCGCCUCUCUCCUGCUACCUGGUCGCGGGAAAACGAACUAGCACCGCUCCCCGGCCGAGGCCAUUCCCCCGCCCCCACCGCCGGAAGAGCUGCCCUUCCCCGAUGGGAGGGGGGCGGGAAACUUUGCGAGACGACUGUUCCGCGCCUUUCUCGCGUGGCGUCGGAGAGGAACUUGGGUGGGUUUCCCGUCCGAGGCCUGACCACACCCUCCCACUUUUCUAGGCCUCGGACCUGAACCUCGUGGACUACGGAGCGGAGGGGGACACUUCGGGCCACUCGGAGGGCGGCACCGAAGUCAGGCGUCCCCAAGGGCUCUGGCGGACGGCCAAGUUUGUGUUCUUUCCAUCCCACGCCGGAGUAGCGCUCGCUACUUUGGGGAAACUUCAGACUCCUCAACCCCGGCCACGAGGCCACCCCUGUCUUUAAGACCACAUAAGGAACACCAUGAUCCGUGCGUCUGUGCAGCGUGUUCCAGAGUCCCAGCCCUCACCAGCUGUGAGGUCACAUCUCUUGGAAGGCAGUCAUCUACCUCAACCAACAGCUCCGAGAUGCUGGGCAGCGGGACCGUAUCUGCCAUUGGGAGAGCUGCCGCUGGUGCUCUGGGCUGUCCUACUCCUUCCGGUAGCCAAAGAGAGGAUGCGAGUUUUAAAAAUGCAUAUAUUCAGGUCCCUUAAUGGCCGUUUGUAUUGGAUGAAGUUCAUAAGGAUUUGCAGAGGUCCUCCAGGGCCUCUGUGAGGGUGAAGAAACUAGCUCUGCCAACCACGGGUUCUCAAGGAACAUUUGUCUGCAGUGGAAUUAAUCAGAAGUCGCGCCCUCCCUCCCUCUGACAGCUGCAGGGGGAGAGGGUGGAGGAAUUAUCCAGGGAAUGCGAGGGCAAUGGGGGCCACGUGAUAAGAAGGAGAGUUCUCCCUUGUCCCUUUCCAACGCCCCCGCAGAUGUGGCCGAGGAGCCCGGCCCUGCAAGGCCAUGGUGGAGGAAGGAGGCUGUGUAGUAAUGUGGUUAGGGCUCGGCAAACCCGGCUCCAAAAGCCAGCGCUGUUAUGUAACUGGCGUGCGCCUCAGUUUCCUCUGUAGUAAAAUGGGAAUGACUUCCGGGCUGCUUGUGGGGAUUAAGGGAGGUCAGGCGAAUAACGGCCCAGGCACACCAUGGGUUUAGGAGAUGCCGGUUCCUGGGAUUUAUGCAGACCUGUGGCCCUAUGCCCUGUGGGAGUGGAGCCCUAAGCGUAAAUCGUUAACUCCUCAAAGGUAUGUUUGCUGUGCCCUGGGAUUUUCAAAGGGCAGACUCUCCCAACAGCUCCAGAACCUUGCUACUCAAAAGGCCCGCGGACCGGCAGCAGCCUCACCUGAGAGGCUGUAAGGACGCCCUCAGAUGCUCCCCAGGCCUGUCGAAUCAGAAUUUCUAUAUGAAGAUUCCCUCAGUUUCAAAAUCACAUUUGGAGAAGUGGACCCUCUGUGCAUAAGAACAGCCACUGAGAGAAACAACAACAAAGAUGAACGGGUUGAAAAAGGCAAGUUCUUCCAUUGCCCUCCACGUUUGU